CUGUUCAUUUUCCUUAAGCAUUAACUGAUAAAUACUGGAAUUCUUUCCCAGCUUAUUAGCUUGUGGAGUUAGCAAAGGUAAGUAAAGUCCAUGUGACUCUAAUAAAAGUAAUUUAUCGCGUGGAAGUUUGGGGAUUAUUUUUUGAUAGAUCGGAUGUUUAACAUAAUUAUCAUUUCCAAUAUUUGAUAACACCCAAAAUAGUUGAGCUGCUGCAAAUAAAAUCAUCCAAGUAUAGAAAUAACCCAGGUAAAUUCCAUCCAAGUAUUCUCUAUAUGAUUUGAGGGUGCUGACCAUAAUAAAAACUACCAAUAAAUUCAGAAUAGAAAUAAACCAGUAGUAUACAGCAUAUGGGUUUCUAAGUAGGGAAAUCCUUCCAAAUAAUUUAUUAUGAUAAUACCAAAAAUUAAGCAUUAAUGCCAACCAAUAAUUUUUCCUAGUCCAGCAAAUCUGGAAAGCAGUAUUGCCAACAGCCGGAUUUUCGUAAUUUGAAUGGGAUAUUAGAUGAAUUAGACCUAAAUCGCACAAAAAGCUAACUGUUUCAUCAUCAACAUCUCCUGAACACGCAGCAUGUAGCAAUGUAUUCCCUUUAUGAUCUCUAUGUCCUAUGUUUGCUCCAUGACUUAUUAGCCACUGAAUAAUACCGUAAUUUCCUCUUUUAGUUGCCCAGAAUAUAGGAGUUUGUCCUAAAAUAUCCUGCUCUUCUAGAGAAUAUCCUUGAAGAUAAAGCCAUUCCAUUACUCUCAGUAAGUCUUGAACUCUACCUUCGGCCACUUCUGAUGCAGCAGUGAGCAUUAAUCCAAACUGGUUCCUAUUUUUAACAUAAAAAAUUUUGUUCCCAUGUUUUUCAUAUAAAUACUUUAGCAUGGAAAAGUUUCCAGAUUUAAUACAGUAAUGCACAGUUGUAUCUCCAUUAAUAUCUCCCAUAAAUGGAUCACAACCUAAGCUCAAUAAGUGAAUGGAAACAUCAUCCCAUCUAUAAUAUACAGACCAGUGGAGCGCAUUUGAUUCAUUCAAAAUGCCAGUAUUCCCUGUUUCUAUUAAUUGUUGAAUAAUAUUAUGUAGUGUGUUUUUAUCUCUUCUUUGAGCUGCUAUUGCUAACUCGUUAGCAGUGUAUUCUGCUUCAUAACAGUUCGACCUUUUACUCAGUUCCAUCAGGCCAACAUUUCACUAUUUUAUAGAAAAUUUGGCAAUACUGGGUCGAACUUAAAUUCUCGAUAUUUA
rnacentral:antisense_RNA from 1 species